rnacentral:rRNA from 1 species
UACGUAGGGGGGCAAGCGUUGUCCGGAAUCAUUGGGCGUAAAGCGCGUGUAGGCGGCCCGAUAAGUCCGCUGUGAAAGUCCAGGGCUCAACCCUGGAAUGCCGGUGGAUACUGUCGGGCUCGAGUCCGGAAGAGGCGAGUGGAAUUCCUGGUGUAGCGGUGAAAUGCGCAGAUAUCAGGAGGAACACCGAUGGCGAAGGCAGCUCGCUGGGACGGUACUGACGCUGAGACGCGAAAGCGUGGGGAGCGAACAGG